rnacentral:rRNA from 1 species
ACCAACAGGGAUUGCCCUAGUAACGGCGAGUGAAGCGGCAACAGCUCAAAUUUGAAAUCUGGCUCUUUCAGAGUCCGAGUUGUAAUUUGCAGAGGGCGCUUUGGCUUUGGCAGCGGUCCAAGUUCCUUGGAACAGGACGUCACAGAGGGUGAGAAUCCCGUACGUGGUCGCUAGCUAUUGCCGUGUAAAGCCUCUUCGACGAGUCGAGUUGUUUGGGAAUGCAGCUCUAAAUGGGAGGUAAAUUUCUUCUAAAGCUAAAUAUUGGCCAGAGACCGAUAGCGCACAAGUAGAGUGAUCGAAAGAUGAAAAGCACUUUGGAAAGAGAGUCAAACAGCACGUGAAAUUGUUGAAAGGGAAGCGCUUGCAGCCAGACUUGCUUGCAGUUGCUCAUCCGGGCUUUUGCCCGGUGCACUCUUCUGUAGGCAGGCCAGCAUCAGUUUGGGCGGUGGGAUAAAGGUCUCUGUCACGUACCUCUCUUCGGGGAGGCCUUAUAGGGGAGACGACAUACCACCAGCCUGGACUGAGGUCCGCGCAUCUGCUAGGAUGCUGGCGUAAUGGCUGUAAGCGGCCCGUCUUGAAACACGGACCAAGGAGUCUAACAUCUAUGCGAGUGUUUGGGUGUCAAGCCCGAGCGCGUAAUGAAAGUGAACGGAGGUGGGAACCCGCAAGGGUGCACCAUCGACCGAUCCUGAAGUUUACGGAAGGAUUUGAGUAAGAGCAUGGCUGUUGGGACCCGAAAGAUGGUGAACUAUGCUUGAAUAGGGUGAAGCCAGAGGAAACUCUGGUGGAGGCUCGCAGCGGUUCUGACGUGCAAAUCGAUCGUCAAAUUUGGGCAUAGGGGCGAAAGACUAAUCGAACUAUCUAGUAGCUGGUCUGC